rnacentral:rRNA from 1 species
UACGUAGGGUGCAAGCGUUGUCCGGAAUUAUUGGGCGUAAAGAGCUCGUAGGCGGUUUGUCGCGUCUGCUGUGAAAACUCGGGGCUUAACUCCGGGCCUGCAGUGGGUACGGGCAGACUAGAGUGCGGUAGGGGAGACUGGAAUUCCUGGUGUAGCGGUGAAAUGCGCAGAUAUCAGGAGGAACACCGGUGGCGAAGGCGGGUCUCUGGGCCAUAACUGACGCUGAGGCGCGAAAGCGUGGGGAGCAAACAGG